UACGUAGGGUGCGAGCGUUAAUCGGAAUUACUGGGCGUAAAGCGUGCGUAGGUGGUUUGUUAAGUCUGAUGUGAAAGCCCUGGGCUCAACCUGGGAAUGGCAUUGGAUACUGGCGAGCUAGAGUGCGGUAGAGGGUAGUGGAAUUCCCGGUGUAGCAGUGAAAUGCGUAGAGAUCGGGAGGAACAUCUGUGGCGAAGGCGACUACCUGGACCAGCACUGACACUGAGGCACGAAAGCGUGGGGAGCAAACAGG
rnacentral:rRNA from 1 species